UUAGGGAAACGAAAAUCAAAACCACAAUGAGAUAGAUGCCACUUCACACACUCUAGGAUGGCUAUAAUAAAAAAGAUAGGCCAGGCAAGGUGGUUCAUGUCUGUAAUCCCAGCACUUUGGGAGGCUGAGGUGUGUGGAUCACAUGAGGAGUUUGAGAUCAGCCUGGGGAACAUGGUGAAACCCUGUCUCUACAAAAAUACAAAAAUUAGCCAGGCAUGGUGGCGGGCACCUGCUUGGGAGGCUGAAGCAGGAGAAUCCCUUGAGCCGGGAAGGCAGAGGUUGCAGUGAGCCAAGAUCAUGCAACUGUACUCCAGCCUGGCCAACAGAGAAAGACUUGGUCUCAAAAAAAUAAAAUAAAAUAAUAAUAACAAGUGUUGAGGAUGUGAAGAAAUUUGAAUGCUCAUAGAGUGCUGGGAGGAAUAGAAAAUAGUGCAGCCACUUUGGAAAGCAGUCUGGCAAUAUUCAUAAUAGCCAAAAGUGAAAAUAACUCAAUGUCCAUCAACUGAUGAAUGGAUAAACAAAAUAUGAUGUAUUCAUACAAUAGAAUAUCAUUCAGCUUUAAAAAGGAAGGGACUGCCCUGGAACCCAUGGGGGCAGGCAGCCGGGUCAGGAGGCGGCCCUGCAAAAGGAAAACUAUAGAUCAAUAUUUCUUAUUAAUAUAGAUGCAGAAAUAAAUUAUUAGUCUAAUCAAGCAGUGCAUUAAAUAAACAUG
rnacentral:lncRNA from 1 species